UAGCAAACUUCAUUGAUUUAAAGUUGAAAAUUGGUCAGAUUGGUUGAUGUUUGGUUGAAGUUAAAAAGUCAACAUCAAUUCAAUGUUUAAGUGUAAUCAUAAUUUCAACGUUGAAAAACUGGCAUUUCAUCAACAUUGUUUCAAUGUCAAUGUUCCGAAGGUAUGGGCCGAAGAUUCUAGAAUAGAGCUUUGGUACGCGCUUUAAUCAACCAUCCAAUCAGCAAGCAGCAGAUUUUAUUUGAAUUUUCUCCCGGAGGAGCUGGAUCCUCUCGCUGCACUGCACACGUUAGAGAAGAAGAAAUAGAGGUAUCAGCACAACAUUUGUAAAGAUGUCCUGGCUCUCAACAAAGGCACCAGGCAGGAUUGUUUUUUCUCUUGCAUUCCCAUAAGCCUGACUUCCUGAUGUCCACUACACUCUGUUCUCAAUCUUCUCCAGUCUUUUGCAAACUUUGAUGUUCAGAUGUCCUAUAAGCCUGACUUCCUGAUGUCCACUAC